UAAAAACAUGCCUGCUUUUUUUGUCUG
rnacentral:piRNA from 1 species